CAAGUCUUUUUUCCGUUUUAUUUGAUCGUUAUCUGAAUAUGAAUUUACAUGCUUGCAGUCUCUGUGGUUCCACAAACACGGACGUGGUAUUGGCAAACAUGCUGGAAAACUACACUACAGAAUGGAAUUUUUGAGUAAGAAGGCGGAAAAAAGACUUUUUGUGCGCGAAUCGGGAAAUAAACCAUUGAAUGUAUCAAAUCUAGAACCUGUGCAAAUUUUGGACGAGCUACCGUCAGCUGAGGAUAUGCUUACUGAGUUGCAAUAUUCUAUACCUAAUGAUCAAUCGAAGGAGCGUUUAGUUGCCGUAUGGAAAGCAACCAUUGCAUACCGCAAUGAGCAGCGAACUGCCGGAACAUUUUCGGAAUUUUUGAAAGAUUUCCCCGUUGCUUCAGCUUUUAAUGGAGAACUGCUUGCAGAAGACUGCGAUGCUGAAACCAAAAGCAGAUAAUUUUGACAUUACCUGGAAUAAUCUGCAGCCAAAAGUGAUAGCUUGCUUUGAUGAAAUGUUUCUUCACAUUUCUGAUCCAUUUCUACGAAGUUUGGCCAUUAUUAGGGUCAAAAACCCUACCAGAGGCGCAAGACAAUCUCGUGACAAUUCACAAAAGACGAAUCCAUUACAUAAAAUUAUCGAUUGGAUUGAUCCUGAGGCCGCAUUUCCAGUAUGCGAGAACCCGCAAAUUUUUGUAGCUGCAGAAAACUUUAAAUCUGGUGAUUGUUACCUGAUCUGGAAAGACGUCGUUAUCAGCACUGGGCAAGAUUUGAAGCACACUUUUAUUUUGCUAUGUAAAGGCUUUACAGUCUUUAACACACAGCCAUUGCCAUCCGACAAACUGUUUUUUUCAUUUUUUAAUGCGGCAAUGCUAAAAAUAAUGCCAUUUAGCACAACUGCGAAUAAGUUUUUGAUGAUGCUCCCUAAAUGAAAAGAAC